ACCAGUGUAGCUCAAUGGCAGAGCGGCCGAUUUAUACUCGGUUGAGCGCCCGAUUAGCGCAAGGUUGUAGGUUCGAGCCCUACCACUGGUACCA
rnacentral:tRNA from 1 species